ACGCUCGACACCUACUGGAGGCAGCAGUGGGGAAUAUUGCACAAUGGGGGAAACCCUGAUGCAGCAACGCCGCGUGAAGGAAGAAGGUUUUCGGAUCGUAAACUUCUAUCAAUAGGGAAGAAAGAAAUGACGGUACCUAAAUAAGAAGCCCCGGCUAACUACGUGCCAGUAGCCGCCGGUAAUCUGAGCGGGCUGGCAAGGC
rnacentral:rRNA from 1 species